UUGACAUACUAAAAAGCUUUAAGUAGAUUUAGAGUGUGCUAGCUUGCUAGAAUUUAGAUACAGGUGCUGCACGCGUGUCGUCAGCUCGUGUCGUGAGAUGUUGGUUAAGUCCCGCAACGAGCGCAACCUCGUGUUUAGUUGCUAACAGUUCGGCUGAGAACUCUAAACAGACUGCCUACGCAAGUAGGAGGAAGGUGAGGACGACGUCAAGUCAUCAUGGCCCUUACGGCCAGGGCUACACACGUGCUACAAUGGGGUAUACAAAGAGCAGCGAUACGGUGACGUGGAGCAAAUCUAGAAAAUGCCUCUCAGUUCGGAUUGUAGUCUGCAACUCGACUACAUGAAGUUGGAAUCGCUAGUAAUCGUAGAUCAGCAAUGCUACGGUGAAUACGUUCCCGGGUCUU
rnacentral:rRNA from 1 species